AAAGCUGGCCGGGCAAUCGCUACAUGACCGCGGUUUUGUAGAGGAAAGUCCGGGCUCCGCAGAGCAGGAUGCCGGCUAACAGCCGGACGUCGUGAGGCGAUGGAAAGUGCAACAGAAAGCAUACCGCCAGCGGCCUGCCCAGGCAGGUGCGGGUAAGGGUGAAAUGGUGAGGUAAGAGCUCACCGCGGACGUGGCAACACGGACGGCACGGUAAACCCCAUCCGGAGCAAGACCAAAUAGGGGGGCAAAAGCGUGGCUCGCGCUGCUCCCGGGUAGGUCGCUCGAGCCGCCAGGUAACUGUCGGCCCAGAUGAAUGAUUGCCUCGAAGUCCGCAAGGUCUUCGGACAGAACCCGGCUUACAGGCCAGCUUUCUAU
rnacentral:RNase_P_RNA from 1 species